AGCGAACGCUGGCGGCAGGCCUAACACAUGCAAGUCGAACGAAGUCUUCGGACUUAGUGGCGGACGGGUGAGUAACACGUGGGAACGUGCCUUUAGGUUCGGAAUAACUCAGGGAAACUUGUGCUAAUACCGUAUGUGCCCUUCGGGGGAAAGAUUUAUCGCCUUUAGAGUGGCCCGCGUCUGAUUGGCUAGUUGGUGAGGUAAAGGCUCACCAAGGCGACGAUCAGUAGCUGGUCUGAGAGGAUGAUCAGCCACAUUGGGACUGAGACACGGCCCAAACUCCUACGGGAGGCAGCAGUGGGGGAUCUUGCGCAAUGGGCGAAAGCCUGACGCAGCCAUGCCGCGUGAAUGAUGAAGGUCUUAGGAUUGUAAAAUUCUUUCACCGGGGACGAUAAUGACGGUACCCGGAGAAGAAGCCCCGGCUAACUUCGUGCCAGCCGCCGCGGUAACAC
rnacentral:rRNA from 1 species